rnacentral:rRNA from 1 species
GGCUAUUAUGAAAGUGUUUAUAGUCUAGCCUGCUCACUGAUAUUAUUAUUAAAUAGCCGCGGUAUCCUGACCGUGCAAAGGUAGCAUAAUCAUUAGUUUUUUAAUUGAAAACUCGUAUGAAUGGUUGGACAAAGAAGAAGCUGUCUCUCUUAUUAAUAUUGAAAUUAACUUUUAAGUGAAAAGGCUUAAAUCCUUCAAGGGGACGAUAAGACCCUAUAAAGCUUUAUAAGUUUAGGGAUUCUGUAUAUUUUUAUAUAGUUAUGAUUUUCCAAUUACUUAUUUGGUUGGGGCGACAAUGGUAUAAUACAAAUAACUGCUUUUAAUUUUUACAGGCUUGCCUGAAUAAGGUAGAAAUUAAUUGAUCCUUUUUAAAGAUUAAAAGAUCAAGUUACUUUAGGGAUAACAGCGUUAUUUCUCCUGAGAGUCCUUAUCAAAGGAGAAGUUUGCGACCUCGAUGUUGAAUUAAAAUAUCUGUAUAGUGCAGCAGCUAUAAGAGAAGGUCUGUUCGACCUUUAAUAUUUUACAUGAUUUGAGUUCAGACCGGCGAGAGCCAGG